rnacentral:lncRNA from 10 species
CUGAGACUGCAGGCAACACCUCCCUGUAGGGGUGUGAGGCUCUCACUAUCUACAGGAGAAGCAGGAAACUGCCCACAUCAGCAGGAGACUCCAGAUGUCUAGGGAAGAAGGAAAAGAGAGAAUCAUUGAAAAGGAGAUAAAUGGAGAACAGAGGGCUGACUGGGAAAGAAUGAGGAUCCCCCAGGGAUGUCUCAGUGGGCUGGAGGAGUGCCCUCAGACUGGAUUAGACUUCUCUCUGGACCCCCUCCCUCCACAUGCUUUCUGAUUGUGUCUUUGGGUGGUUGCAGCCUCUACCAGAUGACUGCACAUUACACAAUAACAAGGGCGAGUUGUGGGAUCCUCCCUGUGCCAAGUGGAAGAAGCCAAGUGAAGGGCUAUGGGGACCUAGAAGAUGGAGUCGUCACACAGUGGAAGAAUUGCAGAUCUCUGAGUCACCAUUUGGACAAGAACCUACUAGAACAGGUGCCUGAACAAGAACACUGGACUUUGUGGAUACUGCUGGAAGAUGGACAGUGAAUUGUCAGAAUUCAGAAGUUCCAGGUCAGAGGUUGACUCAGCCACCCCUGGGCUGAUGGAACCAUCAGAAGGAUCCUCUGAUUCAGUCCCCAAACUGGGCCCUGUGGAGCAGCAUCCCAGACAGCAGGAAUCGGACCUGCAAUUACUCCUUGGGACUCAGGGAGGAGUUUUAACAAGAAAACUGCACAUCUUCAGAGCAGGUGGUCUUUUCUGUCUCUAUAAUCAAACAAAAAUUUUUUUCGACUGUUCUAUAACAGACUGCUGCCUGGGAUCCUAGAACUGUUGCGUUUUUGAUCUUCCUCUUCGCAGCAUGGACAGUGGAUCCCCUUGAUCUGCAAGCCCUGCCCUGCCUCUCUCUGCACGCUGGGGGUUCAGGGAGGCUACACCCUUGGGGGGCACUGGGAGCUGCUGGAGAUGUGCACAGCGAGCAGUGGAGAGCAGUCGUCUCUUCUGAUCUACAUGCAGGGGAACUGGUGAGAGUUGCCGUAGGACCUCUGGUGAAAUUACCUUGGCUACUGACUAGUAAAGAGAUGAGAAAGGAGAGGUACUAUAGAUUUUCUUUAAGAAAUAAAUAUUGUCUCCUCUUUCUCUCUUUUCUCUGGUAAACAGUGCCCAAAUUUGGAAAUAUCACGUGUAAUUUAUUGUCCCACUUUAAAUGUUUCUUGUAACCAUGAAUUACUAUUCUUGGAUCAGAUUCCAUUAUAAUAAACUCCCACUUGGACUCCAAAUUCUUUUACAACAGUGGAAUUUUGCUUGAACUAACGCAUUGUUAUAAAUCACAUUUUCUGACCCCAGCCUGGAGUUCA